AGCGAACGCUGGCGGCAGGCCUAACACAUGCAAGUCGAACGAACCUUUCGGGGUUAGUGGCGGACGGGUGAGUAACACGUGGGAACGUGCCUUUAGGUUCGGAAUAACUCAGGGAAACUUGUGCUAAUACCGAAUGUGCCCUUCGGGGGAAAGAUUAAUCGCCUUUAGAGCGGCCCGCGUCUGAUUAGCUAGUUGGUUGAGGUAAUGGCUCACCAAGGCGACGAUCAGUAGCUGGUCUGAGAGGAUGAUCAGCCACAUUGGGACUGAGACACGGCCCAAACUCCUACGGGAGGCAGCAGUGGGGAAUCUUGCGCAAUGGGCGAAGGCCUGACGCAGCCAUGCCGCGUGAAUGAUGAAGGUCUUAGGAUUGUAAAAUUCUUUAACCGGGGACGAUAAUGACGGUACCCGGAGAAGAAGCCCCGGCUAACUUCGUG
rnacentral:rRNA from 1 species